AAAGAAGGCUCUCUUGCGACUUCUAUCUCUUCUUCUUCUUAGCACGACUCGUGUCUCUCUUCUUCUUGCCAAGAUCAGUCUUUUUUCCAUGGUUGCUCUCUCUUCUUCAGUUGGGCUUGUUAAGAUGAAGGUUUGAUUAUUCAAGAACAGAAGAAAGGAAGGGAAGAGAGAGAGCGAGAACAGCUGACGUCAAGUUUUGCUGAGCUAAGAACGGUGGUUUCCCGCCACCACCUGGGUACGAAAUUGUUCACUUGCUCUUCCUCUUCUCUCUUGGCGGCUGGCUCUUUCUCUCAAUACCUCGCUCUAUCUCUUCACUGGCCAGCUCGGUCUCGUGCUCUCUCUCCAUCCUCUCCCUCAUCUUCUCUUCCACCAUUCUAUAGAAAUAGCAUUGUGAUGUUCAAUACGGAUUUUCUUUUGAUGAAAGAGCUGCCUCUUUUGGUUUCUACGGCUAUGCAUAGUGGCAGUUAAGCCUCUUACAGUGGAUGAAAGAUCAUAUUUAUUCAUAAAUGAAGUUGAAA